UAUUCCUUUGUUCAGGCUGAAAAAGAAGUAUUAACAAUGAAACCUUUGGUAACCGGAUCCACGGAACAAAGGUGUUUGGUACUUGAACGUAGGAUUUUUGCUUUUUUAUUAGUGUUUUAGGAUUCUUUUCUUUUUCUCUCUCCUCUCUUCGAUCCAACUCCAGAAAACCCCCAAAUCUCUAGGGUUUUUAUAUUUCAACUGGGCACCAGCAAAGCUGCGUUAAUGCUGUAAAAAUAAUGGGUUGUUGUCUCCUUAAGGUGUUAACUUCGAAGGUAACCAUUGGCAGCCUUUUUGCUUUUCGAGCACAAGUCUUGAACCAAAUAUUACGACUGAUGUUUCCGCGAUAGAUGCUCAAUGUACUAAAAGAUUGUUAACUUGAAAUCAGUUCAGGAUGCCCAGUACGGAAGCAGGUGCAGAGAUGUUCAGAGGACAAGACGGCUAAGAUUACAGCUUAUGAAGGAAACCACGACCACCCUUUACCGCCGCAAGAACAUCGCACAACCACUGGAGCUUCUACUAGGCUCCUUUCAGGUUCAACCAUGAGCAACAACAGAGAACCAGCAAACGAUCUCUUCUCUUCACGCCAUCAGCAAAACCUUUAUCCCAUUGCUUUGCGAACAUUGCUACUCUAUCAACCUCUACACCAUUAAACUGCACACAAGUUGGCUUGAAAUGUCAAAGCUUUAAUCAUUUCGUGGCCUAAAGUCUAUGAUUAGAACUUGUCUUUAUUGCUAGCUUAUCCAUUGUACAGUGUUUUUUCAUAACAGAAAAUGUAAACUUCAAACACACACUAUUGUAAGACAUAUCAUAUGUAUAAAAUGUUUAAUCAGUAAUGUAAAAGAUAUGGUA